GAAUGGACUGGGUUACAAUUUUAUGAACUUUGAAAGUGUUGGAAGAACUACCUGAAGUCCAGUAUCUGGAAUCCAACACGAUCUGAUGGUAGCCAUAGCAACAGAGCCUAGUGAGGAGGCAAAGUGUGAGGAGAGACUUCCUUGAACCAAGCAGUAAUUCAGUCCAGUAGUCAAGGCAGCCAUAUGCUAUGGGCAACAGAUCUACUUGUCCAUAGGAUUUGCCACACUCAUAAGUCAUCUUGGUUGGGUGACUGCUUUGCUUCCUCCCUGAGCCCACCAGCCUUGGCAGCUUGCCACUGAUUGGAGAGUGUGAGUCUGUGAUCUGAGUUUGAUGUGAAGUCUGGCCACUCCACUGCAGGCAGAACUGAGGCUACAUGCUUGUGAAUGAUGAAGUACAUUGAGAAGAAACUCCUGCCUUCCCCUUAUCGAUAGGAAAUCUAGGCAAUGGUUCAUCCUGGAACAUCGAAUACUAGUGUCUUCCUGAUCAAUGAGCUGUUGAAUGAUGGAAAAGGCAUUGCAUUAAAUGCUUGGGAUACAAAGCAAAAGGAGAAAACAGUUCCUGACCUCAAGAAGCUUAUGUUCUAUUGGGGGAGUCAAAAUAUAAAUAAAAAGAUGAGGAAACUUGAGGUGAAGAAAGGUCAGAAUUUGCCCAGAAUCACACAGCUGACAAGUGUUGGCUCCUUGGGAUCCUGAUGU
rnacentral:lncRNA from 1 species